AAGCCAUGAUGAGUGAAGUAUAGUCUGACCUGGUACUGCCGCCAGUUUGGGCUUUGACCAGGAGAUGAUCGUGUAAUCUUCUCUCUGAGCAU
rnacentral:snoRNA from 1 species